rnacentral:tRNA from 1 species
GCCUUCGUGGUGUAGUGGUCAGCACGCUCGACGCCUAACCGAGAGGACCGUGGUUCGAUUCCCGGAGAAGGCG